rnacentral:rRNA from 2 species
UGGGGAAUAUUGCGCAAUGGGGGAAACCCUGACGCAGCAACGCCGCGUGAAGGAUGAAGGCUUUCGGGUUGUAAACUUCUUUGAUCGGGGACGAAGAUGACGGUACCCGGGGAACAAGCCACGGCUAACUACGUGCCAGCAGCCGCGGUAAUACGUAGGUGGCAAGCGUUGUCCGGAAUUACUGGGUGUAAAGGGCGUGUAGGCGGGGAUGCAAGUCAGAUGUGAAAUUCCGGGGCUCAACCCCGGCACUGCAUCUGAAACUGUGUCUCUUGAGUGCUGGAGAGGAAAGCGGAAUUCCUAGUGUAGCGGUGAAAUGCGUAGAUAUUAGGAGGAACACCAGUGGCGAAGGCGGCUUUCUGGACAGUAACUGACGCUGAGGCGCGAAAGCGUGGGUAGCGAACAGG